AGUAGCGGCGUCUACGAGAGCUGCGGCCCAGUUCCCGAGCGGCUGCCGGGGGCACAUGGCUCGUGGGAAGCGCCGCGCCGGGCGCGGGCCGCGCCGCGGACCUGGGGGCGGCGGGGAGGGGGCCCUGAAGCGGCUAAAGCUAGCAGUGGAAGAGUUCGUGCAGGCGACCUCGGAGGGCGAGACGCCCGGCGGCCGCGAGGGGCCCCGGGCUCAGGGACGCGUGCGCCCGGGCGGGAGGAAAAGCCGCAGGGAGCUGAGGAAGGAGAAGCGGCACCUGAGGAAGGCGCGCCGGCUCCAGAGGACGGCCGGCCCCGCGCAGGGCCCGGGCCCGGGCGGCGGCGGCGGCGGCGGAGCGAACGGCCCCCGGGCGGAGGCGACGCAGGAGGAGGACGGCCAGCCGUCCCCACGGCGGGCCUCGCGGCCGUCCGAGGAGCUGCGACCUCCCCCGGUUCCGGCCAAGGCCGGCCAGGCCCAGGCCAGGGGUCCCCUCGGCAGGACCAAGGCCCCCGCAGCCGCAUCCCGGAAACGGGCACUUCUGGCGGCCAACGAGGAGGAGGACCGAGAGAUCCGAAAGCUGGAGCGGUGCCUCGGCUUGAACAAGCGCAGAAGGAAGGGCGACGGAAGCUCCGUGCCUCUGAGCUUUGCCCGCGAUGGGCUCGACUACAUCCUGGGAGCCCUGGACUCUGGGAAGAGUAGUGGCUGGUAUGAAAGCAGCAGUGAGGAGGAGGAGGAGGAGCAUGCGGGACAGGUACUCCCCGAAGGUGACAGCGAGGACGAACGGGAGCAGCAGGAUGCGGAAGACGAAGGCGAGCGGGCAGCAGACGCGGGAGCGCAGAGCGAGGGGGAGGACCCGCAGGUGGCGGGGGCGGGACAGCUGGAAGCCGGAGGAGCGGACCGGAGGGCGAAGGGGGGAGGGAGGAAGAAGAGAGUCCGUUUUGCCGAAGAUGAAGACAGGAGUGAAAGUUCCGCGGAGGAUGUUGACGCAAACGAUAAGCAGAGUCUUUGUGAAAAUGGUGGAAAGUACAUCCCACCCCACGUGAGGCGAGAAGAGGAGACAGUGGAUGCCCAGAAAAAGGAAGAACUAGAGAGGCUCAAGAAACAGGUCAAAGGUCUGAUUAACAGGCUGAGUGAGCCGAACCUGGCCUCCAUCAGUGGCCAGCUGGAGGAGCUGUACAUGGGCCACAGCAGGAAGGACAUGAAUGACACUCUGACGGGCGUCCUCCUGACCGCGUGCGCCCCGGACACGGCCAUGCCCGCCAGGCUGGUGAUGGAGCAUGUCCUCCUGGUCAGCAUUCUUCACUGCACAGUUGGCAUCGAGGUCGGUGCGCACUUUUUGGAGGCUGUGGUGAGGAAGUUUGCUGACGUCUAUAAAAGCGGGUGUGACGGGAAAGAGUGUGACAACCUGUUCACCAUCAUCGCCCAUUUAUAUAACUUCCACGUGGUGCAGUCUCUCCUCAUCUUUGACAUUUUGAGAAAACUUAUUGGAACUUUCACAGAAAAAGAUAUCGAACUGAUCCUGUUAAUGCUGAAAACUGUGGGCUUUUCCUUGAGAAAAGAUGAUGCUUUGUCGCUUAAGGAACUGAUCACUGAGGCCCAGGCCAAAGCCAGCGGGGCAGGCGGAAAGUUCCGGGACCAGACCAGGGUUCGCUUCAUGCUGGAGACGCUGCUGGCCCUGAAGAACAACGACGUGCGGAAGAUCCCGGGCUACGACCCCGAGCCCCUGGAGAGGCUGCGGAAGCUGCAGAGAGCCCUGCUGCGAGGCGCUGGCUCAGGGACAGAGACUCAGCUCCGCGUCUCCUGGGACAGCGUCCUGAACGCCGAGCGGACCGGGCGCUGGUGGAUCGUGGGGUCCGCCUGGAGUGGCGCCCCGAUGAUCGACAGCGGUCAGCAGAAGACCCCGCGGAAGCAGCCCACGGGGACGGUUAGCUCGAAGAUACUGGAGCUCGCCCGAAAGCAGAGAAUGAACACCGACAUCAGGAGAAACAUAUUUUGUACAGUUAUGACUAGUGAAGACUUUCUGGAUGCAUUCGAGAAGCUCCUGAAGCUGGGGCUUAAGGAUCAGCAGGAGAGAGAAAUCGUUCACGUCCUCAUAGACUGCUGUCUGCAAGAGAGAACGUACAACCCUUUCUACGCCUUCCUGGCGGGCAAGUUCUGUGACUACGCGAGGAGCUUUCAGAUGACAUUCCAGUUCAGCAUAUGGGACAAAUUUCGGGACUUAGAAACUCUGCCAGCCACUAACUUCUCUAAUUUGGUUCACCUGGUGGCCCACUUGUUGAAGACCAAGUCACUGCCGCUUUCCAUUCUAAAGUAUACAACACCCACCCCCGUCUAAAAUUUCUCACGAAACUGGGCUUUGAAGAGUCCUGGCCGUUGUCACAACAAAUCCUGGUGGGCUCCAUGUAAACAUGGUUGGGAAAAUCACAGCCCGGUGACACUGGCGUCUCGGGACAGACAGUAUGAAGCUCACAACUGGCCACGCUAAUUACAGUCGAGGCCAGCAGACCUCCCCAUGGCAAAGGGAAGAUCAGACUACCCAUCGCAAAACGACUGAAGCCAUGACAGGCGAGUCUCUGAACGGCAGAUGGCGAGACGCUACCAUUGGCUGGGGCAAGUGCACGAGACUGGUUCCCAGCAGAGCCUGUGCGGGGUUCGGGCUGGGGCGGGGCCCGUGCUCCCAGGUUGGCGACCCAUUCUCCUGCCUGUGGGGAGGAGACCCUGCCAGGUGGAGGGGAGCCCCAGCUGCGCUGGCCGAGCGUCUGUAAAUCCAGGUGUGGGGUAGAGUUUCGUAGCGCAGUUUUGUUGCUGGGUCCCUGAGCAGUCCCGCUUCGACUAGGUGAUGGGGACGCUCUUGUUGGCCUGCCCAUUGGUCAGUCACAAGGUGUAGAAGGGACAAGCACAUCAGGCCCGGCCACUGCUGGCACCAGCCCAGCUCAAGGCCAGCCUGCUGCCAGCACACAGCAGUCACUGCAUCUCUGAAGUACUCUUACCUAUAAAAUGGAUUUGCCAUCGAGGCUCUCUAAUUGUUUGAGUAGGUCUGUGAGUGCCUGGAGUGACAGCGGUAGUUUCUCUAAACUCAGGAUGAGUUCACUAACAAGUACUUCAGUCCGUACUGCUCUCAUUUCUCUUCUCGUGUGUCCUUAAUCCUGUCCAUUCAGAAGAGUAGGCAGAGUGGCCAGCUGUUCUGGUUUGUCCCCGCAAGGGCAGAGCUGCCGAGAGGUCAGUGGGCGAUGGGCGCGGGUGAGCAGUACCGGGAAGCAGACCCGUCGUCUGUCCAGCGGGCCCAGGAAGGUUCCCAGCAGCAGCUCCGGGUCCCUGUCUGCGCUCGGCAUUCCCCCUUCCCCCACGUUUGUAUCAAUAACUUGGCCAAAGAAGGCGUGCUUAGCAGCUUUGCUGACAGCCUGACCUCAGCAGGAGUAAGGGCACUUCUAACUCUAGGACCUGCGAUUUUAUGACCUAUGAUGAGCUUUGUGUCCUUCAGAGGAUCUGGCACUGUGUCCGGGUCAGUCACCGGGUAGGUUCCCGUCUGGACAAAGGAGGUGCUUGUUAAUUGUUUGAGAGCAGAACCUCUCUCUCUGGUUACUUCCCCCUGAAGUGCAAAUAGGGGGUCUCUGAAGGCCUUCUUCUUCCUCAAGCCACGAUUUCCCGUGAAUAUCAUUCUGAAGGUCUGAAUUAGUAUCUACUUUAUAAUUCUUAAACGCUGAUGGGUAAUCCAGGACAUUUUUACUGUCUCUGGGGAAAUUAUCCUUAAUGAGAGUAGAACAAAGCUUGCAAAAAAGUACAAGGUGAAACCAAGGCACUGAAGGCCAGCCCAGCUCCAGGAGUCCAGCGCUUGUACCAGGGUGCCCGGCACCUACACACCUUAAAACUGAGGGCUAAGAUUAUUUCUAUUACUGUCAUUACUUAAUUUUGCCCAGGCUUGGCCAAAGCUCUGAUUUCCUACAAAGAGCCAACUCUGAACAGAAUUGCCCAAGGGCAGAAUUACCAGACGAGAUGCAAAAACAAUGCAUUACAAACACAGAUUUCCCAGUAAGUAUUUAUCCAGGGCUUACUGUGUGCAGAGAAGGAAGUUCACAUGUCCACGGCAUAAAGCACACUUACUUAACUCAUCGAAAAUACAACGUAAUUAUUUGAGAUUUAUUUUAUCCUUGCCCUCAGACUUCUGACUGGUGGAGGAAGUACUUUUCUAUCUGGUCCCAAGCUAGCCGGCCAGACCCACAGAGUGGUCGUUAGCAUCCUUAUGCGUUUUGACUUAAAUGGACAAUGAGAUUUUUUAAACCUCUCUGUUUUCUAAAUCAGAUUUAAUAGGGCAGCCAGCGUCUGCUUUACUACUUUAGCUACUCUGGGGCUAACUGAUAAAUCAGCGGCAGAGGCCGUGGCGUCCUGGCCUGGUGCCCGACAGCAGGGCCCGGGCCUGCCCUGGGCCUGCCCUGGGAAAGUGGCUCUGCCGUCCCCACCACGAACAUGCCCCCAGAGCCGUGAAACAGAGAAGCCAAAAAUACAAGAUGGACUUUGGGGCUGGGCUUGCUGUUUUGUCCCACGUGCCCUUGGUCUGUCCACGCAGCGCAGUACAGGGCAGCUGGAGUGAGGCCCACACUCCCUGGACUCGUGGGUGGCCUGGCUGUGCCACUGGGGACCGGGGCGGGGACAGGUGCUUUGUGGAGUGUCACUGUCCAGUCACCUCUCCUCUAGGCCUUGUCCUCCCUGCACGGAGGCUUGGCCACUCGGGCCUGGAAGAAGCCGGGUUUCAGGCUGGUGCAGACCUGCACUUUCUCCCCGACACCAGUGGGGUCCAGCCGCCUCCCCCUUGAGCUCCUGGCCCGGCUCCUGUGAAGCGAGUGGCAGCGGAAACAACCCGCAUGAGAGUCAGUAGUGAUCUGGCCACUUCCCCCGCAAGGUCAGCCCAGCCUGGAGGGGCCUGGGCCACUGACUUGUACCCUGACAGCAGAGGCCAAGUGGGCCUGUCGAGAUCCCAGAGGGGACUCACGGGGUCUCUGCUCCCUGCCCACCCUCCGGCCACCCAGAUCUCCAGGCCUGGGGGGCCCUCGGGGGAGCGACUCUUCCGGCGGCCCAAUGGGGCCACCAGCAGGGAGACCCCGAGCGCGUCCCGGGUUGGGAAACCGUGCGACCGGGGGCUCCCUACCUGCACGGUGGGAUAAUAAAGCACUUUGUUACCUGUGAGUGAGAGGCCUGAUAAAAGGAAAAUAUUAUCGCCCCCGCUGUGAUUAGGAGGCAUCUGGGCACCGGAGACUCGGUAACAUUUAUGAGUAAACAUCGUUUAUUUCUGUUCUCUGAUUAUGAAGGUCACGGUGGUUUAACCCUGCUGGGACGGCCUCCGACACAUUAUCUGCUCAAACAGAACUGGGAAAGAAAACACCGGCAGUCAUUAAAAGCGAAUUACUUUGUUUUAUGAAGAUAGGAGAGAGAAGGCCUCACGCUAUGGGGGCACUGGGGCAUGACCAUGGCCCCGAGGAGACCCCCAGCCCACCUGAGGAGGGGCCGUCGGCAGGAGGAUCCCAGAGCCGCCGCCGGGGACUCAGGAAGGUCACAAGCACCCCUGGUUUUCUCAAGCAAUUUUGAAAAGCUACCAAGAGUGCAGUGUGUGAUGAUUCAGGUGUUUCCUUUACCUGUGAAAAUCGGUAAAGGAAAUAGGUCAAGGUAGCCGGAAGGAUUUCUGAAUUUCUGGUUUUAAAUUUAGCAGAGAAAAUUUUUUAAAUUUUUUGAUUGGAGUAGAUUUACAAUACCGUGUAAGUUUUAUGCGUACAGCACAGCGAUUCAGUUAUACAUACACAGAGGUUCAGAUUCUUUUCCCUUAGAGGUUGUUACAUAAUGCUGAGUAUAGUUCCUCGUGCUGUACAGUAGAGAACUUACAUUUUUUGGGGCCCUGGUUUUACUUUUCAAAGUGAGCUGUUUGGCCUCUGACUCCUCCCGCUGCUCUGCUGGCUCCCUCGCCCUCAGGCUCCCGCUGGGGGGAGGGGUGUCCUAGUCAGCAGCAUGUACUUGAGUCACAUCUAGAGAUGCUGGCGCCUGGGACGGGCAGCCUGGGGCGUCGGGGAGAGAUGGCAAAGGUGGCAUGCUGGGGCAGGUCCCUGGAGCGUGUGUGUCCCGCGGGCAGCCUUGGCCGCAGGGGAGCUGGGCCAGGAGGACGAGAGGAAGCAGAGUGUGACCCAGAGCCUUUGGUUCAAACGCCUGGGAGGAGAGCGGUACCUUUGCUGAAGUGGGAAAAACCAGCUUAAUUUACUGGAACCCUUUGAUGUGCUCGUCUCUAUACUGGAUACAGUGGGAAGUGCACAAAAGGACCAAAACAUACUUAGAACAGGCAAAUUCACAGAACUGGAAAGUAGAGGUUCCCCAAGGGAGGGGGAAGGGGGUUAGUGCUUAAUGGGGACAGAGGUGAUGCGACAUUUGGGGAAUAGAUACAGGUGUUGGUACACAAUACUGUAUGCAUUUGGUGCGACUGAACUGUACACUUACGAGUGGUUAAAAUGAUAACUAUUAUGUGUUUUUUUUGCCACACACACACACACACACACACACACACAAAGAACCAAACAAAUACCCAGGGCAGAGUUAGCUGUCCUCCAGUCAUGCCCCAUCCUCCCUCGGAAUAGAACCCCAAUUUUUAGCGAGGCCUGUGGACAAAUGGAAAUAAAGACUCACUUUCCAACCUCCGGCGAAGCUUAGCAUGGCCGUGUUACGACUUCUCACCCGGGAGUUCCCUGGUGGCCCAGUGGCUAGGACUCAACACUCUCCCUGCCAGGGCCCAGGUUCCACCCCUCGUCGGGGAACUGAGAUCCCACAAGCCACACAGCUCAGCCAGAUUAACAAAAGAGAGAGAGAGAGACUUCUCGCCAGUGGGAUGUGAGCAAAGGGGCCACCCUGAACCCCUGGGGAGGACACACACGCACCUGCCCUUGGUCGUGUUGGUCGGGGUGUGGAGCCCAAGCCCCACCUUGAACCACAGAGGAAAAGCCACGAGAUAAAGGGCCGUGGCCCACCAGACCAGCCGCUGGCAGCCUGGGUUUACAGGAGAUGAAAUGAAUUUCUGUCCGUGAAAGCCACUGUUCCUUUGGCUCUCCUGCCGUGUGCGGCCGGCCGGGUCCUGACUGAUACAAUAGGCUACACGGCCCUUGCACUGAAGCAGCUAACAGGCCAGCGGGCGCAGCCCACGGCGGUGAGAAUUAAGACCCCACGGUUACCAACAGGCGGCGGUCUGUGGACAUCUCCAGGGUGCUGCUCACUCCUGGGUACCCUCCUGGGCAUCUUGCCUCCAACCGGCUGCAGCCUGAGGCCCAUGGCACGGGGAGCAUGGCCCUGCCGUUCUCUGCUUUCUGCCCAGAGCCUGGUACUGUGUCGGGCACGGCAGCCUUACUCAGUAAGUAUCACUUAGAUCAGGCAGCUGUGGGUCCAGGUAGCAGGUAGUGGCGGGAGCUCGCGGAGCUCUUUGUGCGGCCGUGGUUUGGAAGGUUGAGCUGCGCGCGUAGUACGUACUGGAUCAGCUGGCUUUUCCUGUGUAAGCAGCCCCCCAGACGCAGUGACCUGCGACAACAGCCGUCAGCUCAUCUUUCUGUGGGCUGGCGAUUCCGCUGGGACUCUGGGACUCUCUCGUGGCUGCGGUCAACCUGCGUGUCGCCCGCAUCUACCCAGCUCGCCCGUGCCUCUCCAGCACAGCAGGCAGGCAGGCCGUUUUCAAGGCUCCAGGCGCACCCCACUUGCAAACGCCUCAUGGCUCAAAAGGAGGCUGGGCUCCAGGGCUCCAGGCUGGCCAGAGAGGCAGGUUCACGGGAAGCUGAUGGCUCUCGCGCUCUCUCUCCUUCUCUGUGUCUGUCUCUGUCUCUCUCUCCGUUCUGCAGGAGUCCCCAAGAGAAGUGAUCAUGCCGGUGUGGACACAGGGUGGCCCUGGGUCCAUGAGCCUCCAGCAGGCAAGUCCAGGAGGGCAGCGAGUGGAGAGUGGGGACACCACAGGCCCUGUGUGGGAGGGGCUGACGUGGCGGAACCUCCUCUGGGGCGGCCCUCGGCCCUUCCCUCCUGUGCUGUGUGCUUCUCAACAGCGGCCCUGCGAAACAGGGGCUGCCGUUCCCCGCUUGACAGAGGACCGUGGGGCACAGAGAGGUCAAGUCACUUGCCCCACGCCGCCCAGUCCAUUAGCCUGGAACUUCAACUUCGAGGACCCUCACUGGAGCGCGUGGACCCAGGGUGCCCCCUGUGCCUUGUGGGUGUGGAGACCAAGAGCUGCGAGGAUGUUGGUUUGCUGAACUGUUCCCUGAGUCUGUAUGUGGGGCCUGGCACACGCUCAGCUGCCCAAGCUUCCUCUCUCCCUGGGAGACCGGGACUGACCCGGUCCCCCUUCUACAGAAGGGGACACGGGCACACACUAGGUGAGGCGGGAUGCAAGCCCACGCUCUGGGGUCCCUGCCCUUCUCCACAGCCCUCUGCUCUGGGCACAGAACAUUGGGGGGGAGGUGACAGGCCUGGGAGAAGGGACGGGACUCAGGAAAUGAGGGGGACGUGAGUCCGGUGGGAAGAACGGCCUGUGCAGGUGCGUGGAGACGGGAUGCCCUGUGCGUGAAGGGAAGGCACCCAAGCCCCAGGCAGGUGCACAGGGCACCUGAAGUGCAGGAAGGCAGCGCGGCCCACUCCCAGCCCUCAUGGCUCCGUGAGCUUCUGUGCCCGGGGUCGGAUUCUCUAACACUGGCAGUGAACCUUUUAUGUGAAAGCUUCCGUUUUCUCUUUUAUUUUCCAGAGUGGUCUUAAAUGCCUGAAUUAUGAAAAUUAAGAAAUUACUGUACACCUAAAACUAAUACAAUUAUGUAUUAUAAGGUACUGACAUAAUGCUUUGUCAAUUAUAUCUCAGUGGAAAGAAAGAAAGGAAGGAAGAAAAAAACCAUACAUGUAAUCUAUUUCUGUCCCCAAAUUCCCACUUCCACCAUGCACACGUGCAUCUGUUUUCUGGAAUAUUUAUUCUACCAACAGGUUUAGGAACACUGUGAAUCAGGAAGUGAAUAUUUGAUCACUUGGACUCUACAGUUUUUGUGUUUUUAAAAAAAUAUUUAUUUAUUUUUAUUUUUGGCCUCAUUGGGUCUUAGUUGCGACACGUGGGAUCUUUUGUUGCGGUGCACGGGCAUCUCUCUAGUUGUGGUGCAUGGGCUCUCUAGUUGUGGCUCUCGGGCUUAGUUGGCCCGUGGCAUGUGGGAUCUUAAUUCCCUGGCCGGGGAUUGAACCUACGUCCCCUGCAUUGGCAGACAGAUUCUUAACCCCUGGACCACAAGGGAAGUCCCCUCUACAGUUCUUAGAGGUCUCUAAUUCUUAUCCUCCAACCCCUUUAAAGGCAGGCAGCUACAACCCGAUUUCUCACAUUCCCAUCAUGCACCAGAAGGUCAAAGUCCUGCAUCCCAGGUGAUGCUGAGAAUGACAGGCCGUCCAGUGAGGACUGUGUUCAGGCUGUAGACCUCUUUCCUCCUUCACUCUUACUUUACCUGACACCUAACCUCAUGGAUUCAUGCACGUUUUACACUAGGUAAGGCACAUAUAUAGUGUCUGUUAGUCUUGUCUUCAUCUUCCCACUACUAUGUAACUCCAGGAGGAUGGAGAUUUUUGUCUGUUUUAUUCACGCAUGCACCCUGGUGCUCAGAACAGUGUCCAGCAGAGAGCAGCUAUUCUAAAACAGCUGGCUGAAUGAAUGCAUGGUGGAUGGAUUUUGAGUUGGCUAUUAUCUCUUUCAUGGGUGAAAGGGCUGCAGUGUCACACAGGUGCCUGAUCCAAGGGCACGUGGGUGGGAAUCUGAUGACACCCCCCCCCACGCACCUGGGAAUAAAUAAUCACCAGGAUGGAUGGAGCAGGGUGCUGAAAGGUAAUAAGCCUGGUUGCAGACCCACGGGGGGAAAGAAACAGACACAACUUACAUUCCCUUUACAGAUUUAUCUAUUUAAAAAAUCAACGGCAAGCUUCACAGAGUUGGUGUCUCUGUUUUAAGAACCUUAGGUGUGCGCGUCUCCUUAGAAGGACCGGCCCCAGAGGGACACCUGGCCUGUCCCCCAGGACGGACAAGGGAAAGCGGGCCAUUCUCUCCUCGCAAGCCCCUGAGCCAGGACGACUCUAACUCUUCCUGUUCAUCCUUUUUCAAGAUGCUGUUUCAGCACAGAAGAAAACAUGCUUGGAAGCAAGGCUGUAAAUGGAAAGGUGACCCCAUACGAAAACCACCCGCAUUGUAACAGAACCGGAUCAUCUCGGAGCACAAACCACCGCGAACCGAGCCGCCUUCACCUCCUGCCCCCGGGAUCCCCGUGGGGCAUUCCGGGCGCGCCUUCCCGAGGCCCGGGCCGAGAGGCAGGGACGCCCCCGGGCGGCAGCGGCGCUGCG